rnacentral:rRNA from 1 species
AUUGAACGCUGGCGGCAGGCCUAACACAUGCAAGUCGAGCGGAUGACGGGAGCUUGCUCCUUGAUUCAGCGGCGGACGGGUGAGUAAUGCCUAGGAAUCUGCCUGGUAGUGGGGGACAACGUUUCGAAAGGAACGCUAAUACCGCAUACGUCCUACGGGAGAAAGCAGGGGACCUUCGGGCCUUGCGCUAUCAGAUGAGCCUGAGUCGGAUUAGCUAGUUGGUGGGGUAAUGGCUAACCAAGGCGACGAUCCGUAACUGGUCUGAGAGGAUGAUCAGUCACACUGGAACUGAGACACGGUCCAGACUCCUACGGGAGGCAGCAGUGGGGAAUAUUGGACAAUGGGCGAAAGCCUGAUCCAGCCAUGCCGCGUGUGUGAAGAAGGUCUUCGGAUUGUAAAGCACUUUAAGUUGGGAGGAAGGGCAGUAAGUUAAUACCUUGCUGUUUUGACGUUACCGACAGAAUAAGCACCGGCUAACUCUGUGCCAGCAGCCGCCGUAA